CAUGUGGUGUGGAUUUCAUGGCAUUGCGGACUUUCUCCUUUGAAGUGCCUCUUGGAAUAACUAUGAGGCGGCGUUGGCUACAUGUGGCUCGGGGGCUAUGUCUCCCAACCACAUGAUAAAACCUCUCAUUUUCAGCUUCUCUCAAGCAUAGGUCUCUAAGAACAUGUAUUUGCAGUACUUCAUGCUCCCAGUUAACUGGGAGGCAUGAAGCACCGCAAAAUUAUGAUGUGCGUUGAGUACCGCAACUCAUGAACUAGGAUAAUUAGAUUUCUAUCAACUAGUUCCUUUAAGCACUCUCUUGCAACUGUUUCCAAACUCUUGCCGCUUAUCGGAUUCAAAAUCCUUCAGAAACCCAUAGCUUCACCACUGUACGAGACUCGAAUUACACUAUCUUCCUCAAACACUCCCAUAUAUAGAAAGCACGGCUUUAGAUGAAUCGGCAUAUGGUUGUAGCUCAUUUCAGUAUUUUCAAGCAAUGAUCAUGUUCUCUAAUUUCACUCCUGAAUUUAAGCUUCUCUUGAUAGAUUCCCAACAUUCUUUUGUUUGUUCAAGUCUUUCCAAAAGACCUCCCAUCACAACAAUGAUAAUGGAAGUCCUCUACAACUCUCUACAAUAUUCUCCCAAUUUUCUCCAAUUCUACGGGAACUUCCCCCUCCAAACAAACUUUGCAAAACACCUCCACUACUUUCCACAUCCAAAAAUUCAUAUCAAACAUUAUUGUUAUCCAAUCGGUCCCAAAUCUGACAGUCUAGUUGUCACCAUUAUCCGACUACAUUAUCAUUGUCAGGAAAAUAGCCUUCAUCUCUCCCACGCUCAAUACUCCACAUAUCAUCCAAAACAAUAAAAACCUUCUACCAAAUAAAUAUUUAUGGAGUGCUAGUCCUACUUCAUCUUCUCUCAUUCUACUCACCGUUCACGACCUUUUUCACUACCCCAUUCAUUACUGGCUUGAGAUAGAAUAUCACAAAGAAGUUUUUUUUGUUAUGUUGAGAAAUUGCUACCCAAGCACAAAUAUCAAAAUGCACAUUAGUAAAUCGUGCAUAAACAUUUGGCAAGAGUAGUCUUACCAAUUCCUCCCAUCCCUACAAUCGGAAUGACUUGGCGAGGGGUUCUCUAUUGUGAGCUUAUCCAUGAUUGAGCAUGACAUCAUCAGAUCCCAUCAUGGUGCUGUUCGUUCUAGAGAGAGAAGAUGUCGACGUUGAUAUUUGUCUCUGCACUAGAGUGGACUGCUGCUUGUCUGCAACGUCUGUCACUUUUUCUUAUCAAUCCAUAUCUUAAUCACCUUCGCAGACUUCGUACAAGUCUGCGAAGUGAUUUUUGGAGCAUCAAUUUGGGGCUUCUUUAGACCUCGAAAGCAAUUGAACAACCCAAUCCGAUUCCUUUCAUUCCUAGAGACAGCAGGAAGAAUUUGAUCGGCGAUAUGAGAUUCGAUAGCAUCUUCAGCCUCAUGAGCUGCAUCUGCGAUGCGCUCUCCAACUGAUCGGCUCAUCGCCGUCGCAACAGGGGACUUGUAACCUUCAAGAAAUUCUGCAAGAACAUAACAUUUCAGUAAGAGAUUCAACUUGUUGUUUGUCCAUGAAAUUGGAGGGAAUGGAUGAUGCUCGAUCAGAUGGAUGGUUUGCAUAAGAGAAACCACAGCUGCAUAAGCCCCAUCUCCGACUGAUUUUUUUUUUCAGUUGAGUAAGUUUUUUUUUUUUAUUUUUUUUGCAUGCAGAUAGGAUUGGAAGGAUGGUGGAUGGAAAUGGAAAGGGGGUUGACUCGAGCUUUUAUUUCGGUGAAAUAAUGCCAGGUAUCAUCGAAACUCGACAGACACUCAUUUUAUAUCAUGCAUGAUUUAUAAUUAGUUUAUAGUACUCCCUCGGUCCCAUGAAGUAAGACCUAAGUAUUUUCGACACGGGAAUUAAGAAAUUGGUAUUUUAUGUUUUAAGUGUGAUAGAUGAAAAAGUAAAAAGGUGAAUAAAUGAUAUUUUUUUGCCAUUUUUAGAAACUGGUCUUGCUUCGUGGGACAGACCAAAAAAGAAACUUGGUCUUGCUUCAUGGGACAUAGGGAGUAUUUUUUUGUGCUUAAAGUAUUUAAAAUAGUCUUUAUAUAAAUUAUCUAUAAUCACUACUAGAAAAAUGACAUGUUAUGACACUUAAAAAUGUCAUCAGAAAUAUAUUUUUAUGACACUUUACAAUUUUCUUAAAAUUAUGUUUAUUUAAUAUAAAUUGAACACAAAUACAAAACAGUAUAACAUGUAGGAGAACAAUAUAAAAAUUAUGCGAGAUCUUUGAUUGAAACAAUAGAUGAAAAAUUGUAGGAGAACAUCAAUGCAAACAUUGCCAUGUCUUCAUCCAUUUUAGAAACUCUCUUCCAUUAUAUCACCAAUCUACGGAAUCCGUCUAGGCUACACAUAAAAUCCAAUAAAAAUGUAUUCAUUAAAGAGUCACAGUGAAUGUGAUGACUGAAAAAACAACUAACAUGGACCAGAAAGAAACUAUACUAAACUAUUCAUUUAAAUUCGAUCGUAUAUUUAUCGUCAAUGUUUCGCCGGCACCACAAGUCUUAGAUAUCAUCUUGACAUAUUAUAAGGUUAUGAAUGAUUAAUGAUAUUGUAUAUUGAAAUAUAGAGUUUAAAUGAAUUAAUAGAUACUAUAUAUAUUAAUAAUACGAGUGUUCUGUACUGGUGACCACUCGAAAGGAAUUUCAAGGUUAAGCGUGCUUGACUUAGAGCACAACUAAGAUAGGUGAUCACUGGGAAGUUCGUCAAAUGGUAUGCAAUUAAGUUCAAAAUACAUAAGAAAUGGACUGGAAAUACUUGUUGGAUAUAUGGAAUUAAAAAAAAUGUAUAUUUUUUAUUUAUUUAUUUUUAACUUGCGAAUUUUCGGUGGUUACCAAUAACAUUUCGGUCUUUAUUUAAAUUUUUUUCUUUUUUGCAUCAAAAUUUGUGUGGUUACAUUUAAGGACUGAAGGUACGUUUGUUGAGAUUCGGAACGCCGCUCAACAUCGUCCAUCGAUAACUGCUUAAUUGCACAUUUAGACCUAUUUUUGGGUUUAGUAUCGAAAUUUCGGUGGUUAUAGCCGCAUUUUCUUGAUGCAUACAUGUUAGAUUGUACUGCGAUAAUGGUGUUAAUAGUUGUUUUUUAAAUGAUCCUCGCUAUAGAAUAUUUUUCAUUUUCAUUAUGUUUGUCGUUCGGUCAUUUUCUUCAUAUUAUCAUCUAUUUUUUUCUGUAGCGCCGGGAAGGACCGUCCUUAUCACGGAGGGCAGACCGGUCGCAGGCGACUCUUGGUCUCAUGAGUGUAGAUUUUAAGCUUUGCAGUGACUUUUUUGUAGUAUUUGUCCUAUUUUGGCUUUGCUUUUAGGUUUGUUAGCCCGUGUCGGUUACAUUCUACUGCCUUUCAGUUUAUCUUUAUAGGUUUUGUUUUCCUGGAUUUUGUUUUUGGUUAAUGUGAUUGUAAUAUAAGCGUUUUCUGACAGGAUAGUUAAAUAGUUUAUAUAUAAAUUGUAGUGUGUAGCGGUACAAAUUAAAUACUCCUAACUGUAUUACAAUUUGUGACCUACAAGUCAUAGUAUAAUAUGUUUACACUUAAAAAUGAUUCGAUCAACGCCGUUAUUGAUCCGAUAAUUCACGGAGCAAUGAUGAAAAUAUUACGUCCUACACGGUACAGAAUUUCUAGUAAGAUAAAUAAAAGUGAGUACAAGGGCUACUCAACUCAUAAAGUAUAUGAGUCAAAUCAUACUAGUUUUGUGCAAGCCAGUAUCUAGUUGACCAAAGCCAUGUGUCUCAAUAAUAUACAACUAUAGAAGAGCACAACAACGCUCAGCCUAGCCUAAAGCGACCCUUUAAUUGUGGUGGGGAGGUAAUGACAUCUACUUAAGACAUAUUCUGUACCUACCACCAAUAAUUAAGUUAAACUAGGAUGCUUAGUAAACGUUGACAAAAUAUUUUUAAGUUCAAGAAAUGGAAUAAAUCAAUUGUGGUAAUAGUUUUCCACCUAAUACGGAUAUACUUAUAUUUAAAGGAACGGAAAAGACAUUUGGACACCCGGCUAAAACCCGGUUUUUUUGGUGUGUAGAGAGUGGGCCGAUUUUUAGUGGUUUAGUGUUUUUACUAUUUUAUCCCUUGCUUUUUUUCCAUUUAUAUUAUAUCCGAAAUUAGUUAUUCUAUUUCCUUUUUUUCCGUCUUAUUUUGUUUCCUUAUUUUUCGUGUUAUUUUGUCCUUAUUUUUAUGUUUUUAUUUCAAAAAAAAUUCUAAAGUAUAUAAUUCGAAUCUUAAAAUUUAUUUUUCGGAUUUGUUUUAAAAUUUUAUUAUUGAUUUGUUACUCAAUGAUUCAUACGUAGGGAAAUCGCGUGAAAAAACUGUAAAACAUAUACAUUUUUUGAAUGUUUUACAAUAAAGUCGAAAUUGGACUCAUAUGUUUCUUGUGACACAUAGAAUUUAAGACAUAGAUAUUACAUUAAAAACUCAGAAAUGAAUAAAUAAAAACUUGUUUUAUACUUAAUCGACUUGCAUAUAGUAAAAGAAUGAAAAUAUAAAAAUAAAAAAUAAAUAAAUAAAGAUAUAUAACUCAAUGGAAAAAAAACAUGCAAAAUCAAAAAAUAAAAAUAAAAAUCACCCCUUUAAGGAGCAUAGAGGAUUCGAACCCGCGACCUCCAUUACAUGUGAAUGAUACUUUGCCAACUUAAGCAUUGUUUUGGUGAAUGAAUUGGAGUUGAGAGUGGCCGAGAUUUUUCAUUCUUUGAAGAUUUGAUUUUUGAUUUUUGAUUUUAUUCAUGACAAAUAAAUCAUAAAUAUAAAAGUAGUGAAUAUCUAAUUUUAAGGAUGAUAAAAAUCAUUCAAAAUGUUAUACGAAAUCCAAGCACACUUUUUAACAAACAUCUGGCUUGCAUUUAAGCUCUUAAAUUUAAUAAACUUACUAAAGAAUCUUUUUUUUUAAAACCAACUUAUUUAAGAAUUUUAAAUUUAAGUAAACAAUAGAAAGAAAACAAUAGAAAGAUUACUUAAUUAUUUACAAGUAUUAAUAUUACUUACUUAUUAAUGGGAAAAAAAUCAUAAUUUUCAAAAAAAAAAAAUAAAAACAUAAUUUCCAAAAAUAUAAAUAAUAGAAAUUUCAGAAAAACAUAAUAUGUGUGGAAAAAAAAAACUUGGAUUAUUUUACGAGAAUCUCUAAAAUAGUGGAUUCAAAUAUAGGAUUAUUUUGUGGAGAAUGAGAAUAUCGAAAUUAGUGGAAACAAAUCAAUGAUUAUUUUUAGAAGAAUCACCAAAUUAUUGGAAACAAAUAAAGAUAGCAUAAUUUCCAAGUAUAAAAAUUACUCGAAAAAAACUAACAUAAUUUUCAAAUAUAAAAAACGUAAUAAUAGAAUUUUCUAAAAAAAAACAGAAUAACAUCAAUUAUUGGGAUCUGCCUUAUUCAGUCACUCGAAAGUUGGGAUCCGCCAAGCUUUGCAGCGCUUCGCUCUUAGUCAUGAGAAUAACAUCAACUUUAAAGGAUACUUGUCCUUGUAACUCCUCUUGUUCCUCCACCAUUCUCUUCGCACUCUUCACCAAUGAUUCUUCGCAAUAAACCAACCUCACGGAUUUCAGCGUCGGAAUCUCACCAACUUCUGCAGGAAUCUCCUUCAAACCUGUCCCUAAAAGAUGAAGGUGCUCGAGGCAUGGGAAGUGGGAGCUCUCCAUAAUCCAGUAUUUCAAAUUCUGACACCCCAACAGUGACAACGAUUUGAGACUGGGGAACUGGCCUUCAACUGUUGCCCAUUCGCCCGUUCUGAACCUUCCAUAUUCCAAUUUGAGCUUCUGAAGAAGGGGUAAUAUACUUACCUUUUCCAAUACAUCAUCCACGCUACCAUAAUACACUAGAGUCAGAGUCAGACUCCUAAGAGAGUGUGGAUAGGUAAUCUUAUGCAAUAAAUCUUCCUUUUCACCGCAAAAGCAGCUAAGAGAUUCUAGCUUUUGCAGAAACUGGAUGUUGCAGACAUGACGAGGCUCAAUCCCCUCAUCCUCGUCAUAAAUGAGUCCCAGUUUCUUGAUGUUGGGAAUUCUACCAACCAUCUCCUCAUCACACUUGAAAUUCCUCAUCCAUUUGAGCGUCUGUAGAUUCUCCAUCACGACAACGCUGUCGCUGGGAGGAUCCGGGAGACGCAAUGAUGUCCGAAACCCGAAAUAAACAUGCCUAAGUUGAGGCAUCUUCCAAAUUUCAAUCGGUGCAUUUACGUCUGAUCCGUAGUAAGAAACAAUUAAAGUCUGUAGACUCCACAAGAGGCUGAUUGAAGAAGGAAGUUGGGGGCAUCGAUCAGCUUUAACAACAAGAAGCCGCAAAUUAACUAACUCAAACAUUCUUCCUACGGAAUGCUUGUGUCCUUCAAAUCCUAAAUCAACUUUUUCGUAUGCUUUCAAUGUUCUCAACAAUGUUAACUUGGACAACCCUCGAAGUACUCUUUCGUGAUCACUUAUAUAGGAACGGGCAUGUGGUGUGGAUUUCAUGGCAUUGCGGAUUUUCAUCGUUGAAGUGCCUCUUGGAAUAACUAUGCGGCGUUGGCUACAUGUGGCUCGGGGGCUAUGUCUCCCAACCACAUGAUAAAACCUCUCAUUUUCAGCUUCUCUUAAGCAUAGGUCUCUCAAAGAAUCAUGUAUUUUGCAAUACUUCAUGCUCCCGGUUGAGUAGUAUCC
rnacentral:lncRNA from 1 species